rnacentral:tRNA from 1 species
GCCCCCCUAGCUCAGUCGGCAGAGCGACUCCAUGGUAAGGAGUAGGUCAGCGGUUCGAUUCCGCUGGGGGGCUCGA